GACGAACGCUGGCGGCGUGCUUAACACAUGCAAGUCGAACGGAAAGGCCCUGCUUUUGUGGGGUGCUCGAGUGGCGAACGGGUGAGUAACACGUGAGUAACCUGCCCUUGACUUUGGGAUAACUUCAGGAAACUGGGGCUAAUACCGGAUAGGAGCUCCUGCUGCAUGGUGGGGGUUGGAAAGUUUCGGCGGUUGGGGAUGGACUCGCGGCUUAUCAGCUUGUUGGCGGGGUAGUGGCUUACCAAGGCUUUGACGGGUAGCCGGCCUGAGAGGGUGGCCGGCCACAUUGGGACUGAGAUACGGCCCAGACUCCUACGGGAGGCAGCAGUGGGGAAUAUUGCACAAUGGGCGGAAGCCUGAUGCAGCAACGCCGCGUGCGGGAUGACGGCCUUCGGGUUGUAAACCGCUUUCGCCUGUGACGAAGCGUGAGUGACGGUAAUGGGUAAAGAAGCACCGGCUAACUACGUG
rnacentral:rRNA from 1 species